CGGAGGGUGCAAGCGUUAUCCGGAUUCACUGGGUUUAAAGGGUGUGUAGGCGGGCUGUUAAGUCAGUGGUGAAAUCUCCGGGCUCAACCCGGAAACUGCCAUUGAUACUAAUGGUCUUGAAUUUUGUUGAGGUAGGCGGAAUAUGUCAUGUAGCGGUGAAAUGCUUAGAUAUGACAUAGAACACCGAUUGCGAAGGCAGCUUACUAAGCAAAUAUUGACGCUGAGGCACGAAAGCGUGGGGAUCAAACAGGAUUAGAUACCCUGGUAGUCCACGCCCUAAACGAUGAUUACUCGACAUACGCGAUACACAGUGUGUGUCUGAGCGAAAGCAUUAAGUAAUCCACCUGGGAAGUACGUCCGCAAGGAUG
rnacentral:rRNA from 1 species